UUCAAUUCUGGUCAGAGGGGUUUGUUCGUGGUUAAAUUGGUGUAUGACCCAAAACUGUAAUGGAAAGACCUUUGAGUCCAACUAGAGUCACAUGAUCAAGACAAACAGAUGUUGAUGGAUGUUAGAACAAGAGAAGAAGAA